UACGUAGGCAGCGAGCGUUGUCCGGAGUUACUGGGCGUAAAGCGUGCGUAGGCGGUGUCUUAAGUUUGUUGUGAAAUCUCCCGGCUUAACCGGGAGGGUGCGGCGAAUACUGAGAUGCUGGAGUGCGGGAGAGGUAAGCGGAAUUCCUGGUAUAGCGGUGGAAUGCGCAGAUAUCAGGAGGAACACCGGUGGCGAAGGCGGGUCUCUGGGCAGUAACUGACGCUGAGGAGCGAAAGCGUGGGGAGCGAACAGG
rnacentral:rRNA from 1 species